AAUCGGUACCCUCGCAAUUCUACAAGGUGAACCCCGCCAGGUCCGGAAGGAAGCAACGGUAAUUUUGGACGAAUGUGCCGAGUCGUGGCUGAUAAGG
rnacentral:SRP_RNA from 1 species